rnacentral:rRNA from 1 species
AGCUCCAAUAGCGUAUUGUAAAGUUGUUGCAGUUAAAAAGCUCGUAGUUGGAUUUCGGGCUCGACGGCGACGGUCAGCCGCAAGGUAUGUUACUGUCGACGUUGGCCUUCUUCGCGCAGACUUCGCGUGCUCUUAACUGAGUGUGCGUUGGAUACGCGACGUUUACUUUGAAAAAAUUAGAGUGUUCAAAGCAGGCUUGUGCUUGGAUACAUAAGCAUGGAAUAAUGGAAUAGGACUUUGGUUCUAUUUUCCGUUGGUUUCUGGAACCGAAGUAAUGAUUAAUAGGGACAGUUGGGGGCAUUCGUAUUUCGUUGUCAGAGGUGAAAUUCUUGGAUUUACGAAAGACGAACUAAUGCGAAAGCAUUUGCCAAGAAUGUUUUCAUUAAUCAAGAACGAAAGU